UGCUUGAAAAAUCUGGAGGUGUGCACCCGCUGGUCCUGAUGGAGAAAGCAGCUCCAGUGAGCUGCAGACUCUGCAAAAGGAGAAAACUGACAGGAUAAAAGCUGAGAGGAGAAAAACGACAUCUGUCAACGGUGAAAAACGUUUGUAUGGCUAUAAAACAGAGAUUAGGAAGUCACGAGUAAUUGAAAGCAGGAUCCUGAGGAACGUUGCAGGAUCAGCCUGAUCAGAGGGCUCUGGCUCUGAAACGGAGUCGCACGGUCAUUUCAGCUGCACACUGAGCCCUUUAUGGACUGCCAAGGCGUUUCCCCCCUCCACCAUGGAGACUGUAUAGCAUGCAUUAGGCCGUAAUUUAGAAAGAAGAGUGGUUCCAGCACUUCUCAGGGUGUGUCCCAUUACUGGCCCUGAAUCCAUUUAUUCGGACAGGAGAGGGGUGAGAAAGCUGGAAAGCAUGCAGGAAACGGAUGUAAGUCAGGAGCUAAACUGCAGACUUCUGUGUCGAGGACCCCUAGCCUGUCUUUUACGGUUCUGGACAUCUUCUUCAUAUUCAUCUUCUUAAACAAAAAUGAAAACAUAAUCAUAAUACAUCCUUCAGCCUAUCAACUAUGACUCUCAUGUCACAAAAACUAGUGUUAUCUUUCAUUGUGGAAAACAUUUUCCAGUUUAAACUGUUGGGCCAUAAGAGAAUCCAUGUGCAGAAACAACGAAUGAAAACAAUGUACCAGUCUAUGAAGCUCAUCUGCUCUGCAGUAAUGUCAUACAUAAAAACAACAAAAAAACAGGUAUAAACAUGGUUAAGGGUUAAUUUUUCUAUGCUUGGAAUUUUCUCCAUCAAAGCAUCUGGAUUCUGUAUUAAAACAAACAACAAAAAAGGAAUCAAACCAU